rnacentral:rRNA from 1 species
CUUGACAUGUACGGAAUGCUGAAGAGAUUUGGCAGUGCUCGAAAGAGAACCGUAACACAGGUGCUGCAUGGCUGUCGUCAGCUCGUGUCGUGAGAUGUUGGGUUAAGUCCCGCAACGAGCGCAACCCUUGUCAUUAGUUGCUACGAAAGGGCACUCUAAUGAGACUGCCGGUGACAAACCGGAGGAAGGUGGGGAUGACGUCAAGUCCUCAUGGCCCUUAUGGGUAG